CACGUAGUUAGCCGGUGCUUUUUCUGCAGGUACCGUCACUUUCGCUUCUUCCCUACUAAAAGAGGUUUACAACCCGAAGGCCGUCAUCCCUCACGCGGCGUUGCUGCAUCAGGCUUUCGCCCAUUGUGCAAUAUUCCCCACUGCUGCCUCCCGUAGGAGUCUGGGCCGUGUCUCAGUCCCAGUGUGGCCGGUCACCCUCUCAGGCCGGCUACCCGUCGUCGCCUUGGUGAGCCAUUACCUCACCAACAAGCUGAUAGGCCGCGAGUCCAUCCCCAACCAAAAAAUCUUUCCACCACCAGACCAUGCGGCCAGUGAUCAUAUCCAGUAUUAGACGUCGUUUCCAACGCUUAUCCCAGAGUCAGGGGCAGGUUACUCACGUGUUACUCACCCGUUCGCCACUAAUCCACCCAGCAAGCUGGGCAUCAUCGUUCGACUUGCAUGUGUUAAGCACGCCGCCAGCGUUCGUCCUGAGCCAGGAUCAAACUCU
rnacentral:rRNA from 1 species